CCCAGAGGUAUUGAUUGGUGAUUAUUUCGGUACGCAUUUCGUACUUAAUUUCUUGCACCAACCUGCGCGGAUGCGCAGGUUUUUUUU
rfam:Kluyvera intermedia strain CAV1151, complete genome.